rnacentral:tRNA from 1 species
GCCUAUGUGGUGGAAUUGGUAGACACGUUGGACUCAAAAUCCAAUGAUAGCAAUAUCGUGCCGGUUCAAGUCCGGCCAUGGGCA